rnacentral:rRNA from 1 species
AGCGACCCCAGGUCAGGCGAGACUGCCCGCUGAGUUUAA